UUCCAGACUCCUACGGGAGGCAGCAGUGAGGAAUAUUGGUCAAUGGACGAGAGUCUGAACCAGCCAAGUAGCGUGAAGGAUGACUGCCCUAUGGGUUGUAAACUUCUUUUAUAUGGGAAUAAAAUGUUCCACGUGUGGGAUUUUGUAUGUACCAUAUGAAUAAGGAUCGGCUAACUCCGUGCCAGCAGCCGCGGUAAUACGGAGGAUCCGAGCGUUAUCCGGAUUUAUUGGGUUUAAAGGGUGCGCAGGCGGCUUGUUAAGUCGGGGGUAAAAGCCCGGGGCUCACCCCCGGCGAGCCGUUGAAACUGGCGGGCUGGAGUUGGAGAGAAGUACGCGGAAUGCGCGGUGUAGCGGUGAAAUGCUUAGAUAUCGCGCAGAACCCCGAUUGCGAAGGCAGCAUACCGGCGCCCAACUGACGCUGAAGCACGAAAGCGUGGGUAUCGAACAGGAUUAGAUACCCUAGUAAC
rnacentral:rRNA from 1 species